rnacentral:rRNA from 1 species
AGAGUUUGAUCAUGGCUCAGAUUGAACGCUGGCGGCAGGCCUAACACAUGCAAGUCGAACGGUAACAGGAAGCAGCUUGCUGCUUCGCUGACGAGUGGCGGACGGGUGAGUAAUGUCUGGGAAACUGCCUGAUGGAGGGGGAUAACUACUGGAAACGGUGGCUAAUACCGCAUAACGUCGCAAGACCAAAGAGGGGGACCUUCGGGCCUCUUGCCAUCAGAUGUGCCCAGAUGGGAUUAGCUUGUUGGUGAGGUAACGGCUCACCAAGGCGACGAUCCCUAGCUGGUCUGAGAGGAUGACCAGCCACACUGGAACUGAGACACGGUCCAGACUCCUACGGGAGGCAGCAGUGGGGAAUAUUGCACAAUGGGCGCAAGCCUGAUGCAGCCAUGCCGCGUGUAUGAAGAAGGCCUUCGGGUUGUAAAGUACUUUCAGCGGGGAGGAAGGUGUUGUGGUUAAUAACCGCAGCAAUUGACGUUACCCGCAGAAGAAGCACCGGCUAACUCCGUGCCAGCAGCCGCGGUAAUACGGAGGGUGCAAGCGUUAAUCGGAAUUACUGGGCGUAAAGCGCACGCAGGCGGUCUGUCAAGUCGGAUGUGAAAUCCCCGGGCUCAACCUGGGAACUGCAUUCGAAACUGGCAGGCUUGAGUCUUGUAGAGGGGGGUAGAAUUCCAGGUGUAGCGGUGAAAUGCGUAGAGAUCUGGAGGAAUACCGGUGGCGAAGGCGGCCCCCUGGACAAAGACUGACGCUCAGGUGCGAAAGCGUGGGGAGCAAACAGGAUUAGAUACCCUGGUAGUCCACGCCGUAAACGAUGUCUACUUGGAGGUUGUGCCCUUGAGGCGUGGCUUCCGGAGCUAACGCGUUAAGUAGACCGCCUGGGGAGUACGGCCGCAAGGUUAAAACUCAAAUGAAUUGACGGGGGCCCGCACAAGCGGUGGAGCAUGUGGUUUAAUUCGAUGCAACGCGAAGAACCUUACCUGGUCUUGACAUCCACGGAAGUUUUCAGAGAUGGAAUGGUGCCUUCGGGAACCGUGAGACAGGUGCUGCAUGGCUGUCGUCAGCUCGUGUUGUGAAAUGUUGGGUUAAGUCCCGCAACGAGCGCAACCCUUAUCCUUUGUUGCCAGCGGUUAGGCCGGGAACUCAAAGGAGACUGCCAGUGAUAAACUGGAGGAAGGUGGGGAUGACGUCAAGUCAUCAUGGCCCUUACGACCAGGGCUACACACGUGCUACAAUGGCGCAUACAAAGAGAAGCGACCUCGCGAGAGCAAGCGGACCUCAUAAAGUGCGUCGUAGUCCGGAUUGGAGUCUGCAACUCGACUCCAUGAAGUCGGAAUCGCUAGUAAUCGUGGAUCAGAAUGCCACGGUGAAUACGUUCCCGGGCCUUGUACACACCGCCCGUCACACCAUGGGAGUGGGUUGCAAAAGAAGUAGGUAGCUUAACCUUCGGGAGGGCGCUUACCACUUUGUGAUUCAUGACUGGGGUGAAGUCGUAACAAGGUAACCGUAGGGGAACCUGCGGUUG